AUACAUGCAAGUCGAACGCGCAGCGAAAGGUGCUUGCACCUUUCAAGCGAGUGGCGAACGGGUGAGUAACACGUGGAUAACCUGCCUCAAGGCGGGGGAUAACUAUUGGAAACGAUAGCUAAUACCGCAUAACAGCAUUUAACCCAUGUUAGAUGCUUGAAAGGAGCAAUUGCUUCACUAGUAGAUGGACCUGCGUUGUAUUAGCUAGUUGGUGAGGUAACGGCUCACCAAGGCGACGAUACAUAGCCGACCUGAGAGGGUGAUCGGCCACACUGGGACUGAGACACGGCCCAGACUCCUACGGGAGGCAGCAGUAGGGAAUCUUCGGCAAUGGGGGCAACCCUGACCGAGCAACGCCGCGUGAGUGAAGAAGGUUUUCGGAUCGUAAAGCUCUGUUGUAAGAGAAGAACGUGUGUGAGAGUGGAAAGUUCACACAGUGACGGUAACUUACCAGAAAGGGACGGCUAACUAC
rnacentral:rRNA from 1 species